rnacentral:rRNA from 1 species
GACGAACGCUGGCGGCGUGCUUAACACAUGCAAGUCGAACGAAGUGGCGAACGGGUGAGUAACGCGUAAUCAACCUGCCCUUCAGAGGGGGACAACAGUUGGAAACGACUGCUAAUACCGCAUACGGAAGACGGGGAUUGCGUAUGAUGAGCUAGUUGGAGGGGUAACGGCCCACCAAGGCGAUGAUAAGUAGCCUGUCUGCGAGAAUGAACGGCAAAAUGGGGAAUGAGACACGGCCCAGACUCCUACGGGAGGCAGCAGUGGGGAAUCUUCCGCAAUGGACGAAAGUCUGACGGAGCAACGCCGCGUGAGUGAUGACGGCCUUCGGGUUGUAAAGCUCUGUUAAUCGGGACGCGGUACCGGAAUAGAAAGCCACGGCUAACUACGUGCCAGCAGCCGCGGUAAUUC